UAGAGUUUGACUACUAAAAAAGCUACAUGUAUAUAUUUGGUGUUGAGACUGUUCCUUAAAUAAGGGUUUUUGGAGCCCCUCUCUCCUCUGUCCCUCACUUUUUAAUUAUUUUUAUUAUAAGGGACUCACAAUAGAUACCACCAUUGCUGCUGCUCUAAUUCCUACCAGUGGAUCUCACGUCUUCUCGAAUAUAUGGACACACCACUGUUGGGCGGUCGUGUCACGUUCUAAGAAGUUUUAAAGAUUUGUUAUUGGCCCUACAAAUUAUUCAGGAAGGUCACCUAUCCUGAAAUUAUUCCAUCCAAACACUCUUAACUGUGGGGUUCUCUUAAGAUCUUUGACCGAAUUUUGGUGACUUAGGUGACCAAAUCAUUUUUUUUAAACAGAUUUCUAUUCGUUGAUUAGCUUUU
rnacentral:sRNA from 1 species